rnacentral:rRNA from 1 species
AGCCUUUAGCCCUACUAGUAUUAAAGGUCUUGCCUGCCCAGUGACUCUUUAAACGGCCGCGGUAUCCUAACCGUGCAAAGGUAGCAUAAUCACUUGUCCCCUAAAUAGGGACUGGAAUGAAUGGCUAAAUGAGGACCAAACUGUCUCUUACAGGUUGGCCAAUGAAAUUGAUAUUCCAGUACAAAAGCUGGAAUAAACCCAUAAGACGAGAAGACCCUGUGGAGCUUUAAAGCCAAGUCCACUAAAUAUGGCCCUUGAAUUUUCAGUUGGGGCGACUUUGGAGUAAAACAAAACCUCCAAGAAAACUUCUAUUAAGGUUAACACACCAAAAUAAUAAUAUAGACCCAGCAAAAUUCCAACCAAUUGCCUGAUCAAUGAACCAAGUUACCCCAGGGAUAACAGCGCCAUCCCCUUUUAGAGUCCCUAUCGACAAGGGGGUUUACGACCUCGAUGUUGGAUCAGGACACCCCAAUGGUGCAGCCGCCAUUAAAGGUUCGUUUGUUCAACGAUUAAAGUCCUACGU